rnacentral:rRNA from 1 species
CCUACGGGUGGCAGCAGUGAGGAAUAUUGGUCAAUGGGCGAGAGCCUGAACCAGCCAAGUCGCGUGAGGGAGUACUGCCCUAUGGGUUGUAAACCUCUUUUGUCGGGGAGCAAAAGCCGGACGUGUCCGGCUGUGAGAGUACCCGACGAAAAAGCAUCGGCUAACUCCGGGCCAGCAGCCGCGGGAAUACGGGGGAUGCGAGCGUUAUCCGGAUUUAUUGGGGUUAAAGGGUGCGCAGGCGGAUUUUUAAGUCAGCGGUAAAAUCGUGGGGCUCAACCCCAUCGAGCCGUUGAAACUGGGGUUCUGGAGUGUGCGAGAGGUAUGCGGAAUGCGUGGUGUAGCGGUGAAAUGCAUAGAUAUCACGCAGAACCCCGAUUGCGAAGGCAGCAUACCGGUGCACAACUGACGCUCAGGCACGAAAGCGUGGGUAUCGAACAGGAUUAGAUACCCUAGUAGUC